AGGAUCAUUAUUGAAAUAAAUCUGAUGGGUUGUUGCUGGUUCUCUAGGGAGCAUGUGCACGCCUUGUCAUCUUUAUAUCUCCACCUGUGCACCUUUUGUAGACCUUUCAGGUCUAUGUUGCUUCAUUUACCCCAAUGUAUGUUAAUAGAAUGUUGUGCCUAUAAAAUAUAUACAACUUUCAGCAACGGAUCUCUUGGCUCUCGCAUCGAUGAAGAACGCAGCGAAAUGCGAUAAGUAAUGUGAAUUGCAGAAUUCAGUGAAUCAUCGAAUCUUUGAACGCACCUUGCGCUCCUUGGUAUUCCGAGGAGCAUGCCUGUUUGAGUGUCAUUAAUAUAUACAUCAACCCUUCACUUGUUGAGUGGUUUGGAUGUGGGGGUUUUUGCUGGCCUUUUAAAAGGUUCAGCUCUCCUGAAAUGCAUUAGCAGGACCAACCUUGUUCAUUGGUGUGAUAAACUAUCUACGCUAUUGAAAAUGAGGGGGCAGUCCAGCUUUAUAAUCGUCCUUGGACAAUUCAUCAUUAAUGUGACCUCAAAUCAGGUAGGACUACCCGCUGAACUUAAGCAUAUCAAUAAGCGGAGGAAAAGAAACUAACAAGGAUUCCCCUAGUAACUGCGAGUGAAGCGGGAAAAGCUCAAAUUUAAAAUCUGGCGGUCUUUUGGCUGUCCGAGUUGUAAUCUAGAGAAGUGUUAUCCGCGCUGGACCGUGUACAAGUCUCCUGGAAUGGAGCAUCAUAGAGGGUGAGAAUCCCGUCUUUGACAUGGACUGCCAGGGCUUUGUGAUGCGCUCUCAAAGAGUCGAGU
rnacentral:rRNA from 1 species